rnacentral:rRNA from 1 species
GAUGAACGCUGGCGGCGUGCCUAAUACAUGCAAGUCGAGCGAACGGACGAGAAGCUUGCUUCUCUGAUGUUAGCGGCGGACGGGUGAGUAACACGUGGAUAACCUACCUAUAAGACUGGGAUAACUUCGGGAAACCGUAGCUAAUACCGGAUAAUAUUUUGAACCGCAUGGUUCAAAAGUGAAAGACGGUCUUGCUUUCACUUAUAGAUGGAUCCGCGCUGCAUUAGCUAGUUGGUAAGGUAACGGCUUACCAAGGCAACGAUGCAUAGCCGACCUGAGAGGGUGAUCGGCCACACUGGAACUGAGACACGGUCCAGACUCCUACGGGAGGCAGCAGUAGGGAAUCUUCCGCAAUGGGCGAAAGCCUGACGGAGCAACGCCGCGUGAGUGAUGAAGGUCUUCGGAUCGUAAAACUCUAUUAUUAGGGAAGAACAUAUGUGUAAGUAACUGUGCACAUCUUGACGGUACCUAAUCAGAAAGCCACGGCUAACUACGUG